rnacentral:rRNA from 1 species
AUUGAACGCUGGCGGCAGGCUUAACACAUGCAAGUCGAGCGGAGUGAUGGUGCUUGCACUAUCACUUAGCGGCGGACGGGUGAGUAAUGCUUAGGAAUCUGCCUAUUAGUGGGGGACAACAUCUCGAAAGGGAUGCUAAUACCGCAUACGUCCUACGGGAGAAAGCAGGGGAUCACUUGUGACCUUGCGCUAAUAGAUGAGCCUAAGUCGGAUUAGCUAGUUGGUGGGGUAAAGGCCUACCAAGGCGACGAUCUGUAGCGGGUCUGAGAGGAUGAUCCGCCACACUGGGACUGAGACACGGCCCAGACUCCUAUGGGAGGCAGCAGUGGGGAAUAUUGGACAAUGGGGGAAACCCUGAUCCAGCCAUGCCGCGUGUGUGAAGAAGGCCAUAUGGUUGCAAAGCACUUUAAGCGAGGAGGAGGCUACUGAGACUAAUACUCUUGGAUAGUGGACGUUACUCGCAGAAUAAGCACCGGCUAACUCUGUGCCAGCCGCCGCCGUAA